rnacentral:tRNA from 1 species
CCCACAGUUGCAGUGUUGGUAGAGCAAAUGACUGUUAAUCAUUGGGUCCCUGGUUCGAGUCCAGGUCGUGGAGCCA